AGAGUUUGAUCCUGGCUCAGGACGAACGCUGGCGGCGUGCUUAACACAUGCAAGUCGAGCGGAAAGGCCCCUUUUGGGGUACUCGAGCGGCGAACGGGUGAGUAACACGUGAGCAACCUGCCCCUGGCUCUGGGAUAGCUCCGGGAAACCGGGAUUAAUACCGGAUAUGACUGCGGCUCGCAUGGGCUGUGGUGGAAAGU
rnacentral:rRNA from 1 species